AGGAGCGAUCAUACCAGCACUAAUGCACCGGAUCCCAUCAGAAAUCCGUAGUUAAGCGUGCUUGGGCGAGAGUAGUACUAGGAUGGGUGACCUCCUGGGAAGUCCUCGUGUUGCACCUC
rnacentral:rRNA from 2 species